rnacentral:rRNA from 1 species
AACGAACGCUGGCGGCAUGCCUAACACAUGCAAGUCGAACGAGACCUUCGGGUCUAGUGGCGCACGGGUGCGUAACGCGUGGGAACCUGCCCUUAGGUUCGGAAUAACUCCCCGACAGGGGUGCUAAUACCGGAUAAUGUCUUCGGACCAAAGAUUGAUCGCAUUUGGGUGGGCCCGCGUUGGAUUAGCUUGUUGGUAGGGUAAAAGCCUACCAAGGCGAGGAUCCAUAGCUGGUCUGAGAGGAUGAUCAGCCACACUGGGACUGAGACACGGCCCAGACUCCUGCGGGAGGCAGCAGUGGGGAAUAUUGGACAAUGGGCGAAAGCCUGAUCCAGCAAUGCCGCGUGAGUGAUGAAGGCCUUAGGGUUGUAAAGCUCUUUUACCCGGGAUGAUAAUGACAGUACCGGGAGAAUAAGCUCCGGCUAACUCCGUG